rnacentral:rRNA from 1 species
GACGAACGCUGGCGGCGUGCUUAACACAUGCAAGUCGAACGGAAAGGCCCUGCUUUUGUGGGGUGCUCGAGUGGCGAACGGGUGCGUAACACGUGAGUAACCUGCCCUUGACUUUGGGAUAACUUCAGGAAACUGGGGCUAAUACCGGAUAGGAGCUCCUGCUGCUUGGUGGGGGUUGGAAAGUUUCGGCGGUUGGGGAUGGACUCGCGGCUUAUCAGCUUGUUGGUGGGGUAGUGGCUUACCAAGGCUUUGACGGGUAGCCGGCCUGAGAGGGUGACCGGCCACAGUGGGACUGAGAUACGGCCCAGACUCCUACGGGAGGCAGCAGUGGGGAAUAGUGCACAAUGGGCGGAAGCCUGAUGCAGCAACGCCGCGUGCGGGAGGACGGCCUUCGGGUUGUAAACCGCGUGCGCCUGUGACGAAGCGUGAGUGACGGUAAUGGGUAAAGAAGCACCGGCUAACUACGUG